CAGGCCUAACACAUGCAAGUCGAACGGUGUCUAGCAAUCGGNAUAGUAGNUCACGGGUGCGUAACACGUAACUAAUCUACCUACAACUGGGGGAUAGCCCGCCGAAAGGCGGAUUAAUACCGCAUAACAUCAGGGGGCGGCAUCGUCUCUUGCUUAAAGAUUUAUUGGUUGUAGAUGAGGUUGCGGGUCAUUAGCUAGUUGGUUGGGUAACGGCUGACCAAGGCGACGAUGACUAGGGGAGCUGAGAGGCUGGUCCCCCACACGGGCACUGAGAUACGGGCCCGACUCCUAUUGUAGGCAGCAGUAGGGAAUAUUGGGCAAUGGGCGAGAGCCUGACCCAGCCAUGCCGCGUGCAGGAAGAAGGCUUUCUGAGUCGUAAACUGCUUUUGACAGGGAAGAAUAAGCUGUACGUGUACAGUGAUGACGGUACCUGCAGAAUAAGCACCGGCUAACUCCGUGCCAGCAGCCGCGGUAAU
rnacentral:rRNA from 1 species